rnacentral:rRNA from 1 species
GUCCACGCCCUAAACGAUGUCUACUAGUUGUUGGGUCUUAAUUGACUUGGUAACGCAGCUAACGCGAGAAGUAGACCGCCUGGGGAGUACGGUCGCAAGAUUAAAACUCAAAGGAAUUGACGGGACCCGCACAAGCGGUGGAUGAUGUGGAUUAAUUCGAUGCUACGCGAAAACCUUACCUACCCUUGACAUGGUCGGAAGUCUGCUGAGAGGUGGACGUGCUCGAAAGAGAACCGGCGCACAGGUGCUGCAUGGCUGUCGU